CCGAGUUAUACAACUCAUCAACCCCUGUGAACAUACCUAUAACGUUGCCUCGGCGGGAAUCAGCCCGCGCCCUGUAAAACGGGACGCCCCCGCAGAGGACCCAUAACCUCUGAUUUUAUAAUGUACUUCUGAGUUAAAAAGCAAAUAAAUCA
rnacentral:misc_RNA from 1 species